CACAUCAAAUUUUAAUAAAAUAAAUUGUUAAGUUGAAUUGUAUCUCUUUAGUGCAACUUUCUAUCUUUUUUUCUAGUUUCUAAAGUACUAGAAUGGGAAUCACUACCUUUGACUUGCAUCUAGCAGCUAGUCUGAUCAUUUCCCAUCAUUUAUCUGCCGCAGAUGUGGCAUUGUAUGGAGUUGGCUCAUUUAUGGCAAAUUAUGGCUCAAAUCGUAAUGGGAAGCUUGCCUCAGAGUCGGGUGAUGGAUAGCCUCAAAUGCUAACGAUCUUGGGACUGGAUAUUCAUCCACGAAUAUCUAACAGAAAAUCUAAUCAAAGAAACGAACUUCGUGCUCCAACCCUUUGUUUUACAUUAAAUUUUUGAUAAUUGCGCACUUAAGGAGUUUUGAUUUUUUGUGGGUUUUGCAUGUCAUGUGAGCAUUUCCGAGCUGGACCAGAGGAAAUGGAUUUACAUAUGAAGAUGAAUGCUCGGUUGGCUUUAAAUAACAAUUGAGGUCACGAAAAGUGUUUUCAAGUCCCCCGGGUGAGAUCAUCAAACGGCAAAAUGGCAAUUUCAAUAAUCGAAAGAAAACAAGAUGUUGCAACCCCCUUUUCCUUUUCGAUUGAGCAGCAGGAGCAACAGGAUGUGUGGCACCCUCUUGAACCCCUUGUGGUUCUCCUUGUCCUUGUCCCUUAAGACGGAUGAAGUGUUUGACAACCCUUUCAAUCUUCAUAAAUGUUCGCACUCGUGGCACCACACUCUGUUGCAAUAUUAGCCCGGGUCUGGGGUCUGGGUCCCUUGUGUCGCAUCCUUUUUCUCGGCUCUAUCAAGAUGACGACGACCCCUUGCCAAUAAAAAAUGAAAUCUGUUUCGAUGCAUAAAAAAUUGAAAAUCCCAUAAGCAUGCGUUUGGCACGAGUUUUUCUUUCGCCCACUUUUUUGAGGCCUGUUUUUUUGGGCUGAAGACCAUGAAAAAUGGCCUCUGCUCUUGUUAACACGUUGUAAAUACCUCAUUUUUCACUUAACGGGUUUUUAAAUACACAUAUGCAUUUGUGUGUAUGCUUUUGGGCAAUGAAACUGGGCGGUGGUGGGCUGAAAAGGGUUAACUCCUUUAUGGGGUUUUAUUGACUCAGACGGGUUUGCAAGGUGGAUAACUUACAGUUGUUGAAAUGGAGAAUAGAAAAUAGUAUAAUAUACUAUAUUUAAGCACUAAAAUGUAUUAUUUUGAUUUAUGGGGUCCAAAGGUAGUACUAAAAAAGGGCAAACUUAUGCCAAACACAUUGAUAAUUAUGAAAAUGAGCGGUCGAAUAUAAGAA
rnacentral:sRNA from 1 species